UACGUAUGGCGCAAGCGUUGUCCGGAAUUAUUGGGCGUAAAGAGCUCGUAGGUGGCGUGUCGCGUCUGCCGUGAAAGCCCAUGGCUUAACUGUGGGUCUGCGGUGGAUACGGGCAGGCUGGAGGCUGGUAGGGGCAAGCGGAAUUCCUGGUGUAGCGGUGAAAUGCGCAGAUAUCAGGAGGAACACCGGUGGCGAAGGCGGCUUGCUGGGCCAGUUCUGACGCUGAGGAGCGAAAGCGUGGGGAGCGAACAGG
rnacentral:rRNA from 1 species